GCUGGGCAUGGUGGCUCAUGCCUGUAAUCCCAGCACUUUGGGAGGCUGAGGUGGGUGGAUCACUUGAGGCCAGGAGUUCAAGACCAGCCUGGCCAACAUGGUGAGAACCUGUCUCUA
ensembl:misc_RNA Metazoa_SRP Metazoan signal recognition particle RNA